CUCCUGUACUGCAGUUCCUCCUCCCCCUCCUCUCCGUAGGUUCUUCCCUCUUCUUCAAGACAAACAGCAGCAAUUGCAAGGGUGGCAUGGCUCCAAAGAAAGAAAUGCAGCAGGUUCUGUCAGCAGGCUUUGAUUAUCAUCCGCAUCAGGAUUCAGCAGACCAAAGUAUUCAGGUGAAACUUAUGGAUGUCCCUAUCUGAUCCAAGUUUUUCUGACCUGAGUAAAGGAUGUUAGUUCGUUUCGAACUCUUUCUGACCUUAGUGCCGUGCAUCAGGAUGUUGUUUGUUCUAUUUCUGGUUGUUUUUUAGCACAGCUCUAGAACCCGGGAAAUGGCAUGUUACUACUGGCCGGCGCUAAGGACAAGUUGCCCAUAGAGGAUCUUGAUAAGCAUAAACAGCAGGAGGACACAUGAUAGACCAAGCAAUCACAGCAGGAGAAGCACAAGUCAUUGCUCCACAAGCACAAGGUCUACUCCUGAUGACGAUACCAGAAAAUCUGCCGGGUGCGGGCUUGUUGUUGCUGUGUUGUUGGGGGCGAGGCAAAGAGAAGAUAUAAGAAAAGGACAAUUAUGGUUAUAUGGCUUGAACCACUUAAAGGUUUGAGGACCCAAAUCUGCACUUUCACAGCAUAGGGACUGAAGUGACAUUUGCAGUGCAAAUUUCGACAGUGCAUUUUACUCCUAAUAAUAAACUCUUGUGAUAUGGUCUCAAUGUAACUAAAUUCACCUCAAUUGACGAUCACAAUAGCAGAGUAGUGAAUUCAAUAUCAAUACUGGCAGUCCUGUUCGUGAAUUUUACUUAGGCCUCUCAAAGUGCAAAUAUCAUACAAGCGUCAUGCAAUGGUGCCUAAGCAAGAAGAUGAUGUGGCAAGCAAUUAAGGAUAUGGGAGAAAAUUCUAGUAUCAAAUAAUGAGACGGUACCAAAGCGCGUCAAACAAGAAAAGUCAAUAAGAAAUAAAUCCUAUCCACAACUUUAUAUUGGGAUUCUACAAUAAAUAAAUGAAACGGCAAUAUAACACCAGUGUACGAUACUAUGUAAUGUGAAUGAAGAAACUAAAGUAGUAUCAUGCACUAUGAUACGGGUACAUGACACUAAGCAUUGCAACUGGACUUAGCUACCAAACUUAGGUCGACAUCAAUUUGUGUACUUAGAACAAAGUGAUAUUUUACUUGCAAUGUAAGUCCCCCGCAAUCAAUAUGUUAUACUGUAACAUACCUGUGGGAGGUCUGACACUGAAUCUCUCAAUCGUUUACCACAAGGAAGAGAUUUACCAUCUUCUCGACAGAGAAGCCAGUCGUCUCUUUUGGGCGUACAAGUAAUUGAUCCAUCUGCAACACAUCCAUCAUAUAUGGUUACUCUAAGGAGAAUAUACAUAGAAAUCUAAGGCGGGCACAAUUUGAGGUUACAUUGUUUGCCGGUUAUUGGUCAAUAAUAAUAGGUAAUGUAACACAAAAAAUACAUGAUAGAUAGAUGUCUUCAGUCCUUAAAAACUCUAUGUUGCCUAGAAAUAGGGGCCUGUGAGCGCUCCGGGUAUUGCACUCGGGUGGACCCCGAAGGUCAGCAGGAUUAAGCACCGGUGCCAUCUGGCUCCAGCCCGCAUUUCACGUGUCGCUCAUGUGGGAUUUCUUUGUCUUCACAUAGCUUCCACGCUCUGUUGUUUUCCUAGGAGGAGAGGAAGAGCGGUUUGGCAAGGGAGUGAAGCUAGCGCCGCCUACGGGUUCGGUGGGAUGCUGGACAUGGUCGGCUCCUCUGCCCUGUACCUGCUACCUGCUCCUGGAAAGGUUUGCCGGCAUACUUGCUCCGUUCGCUUUGGAUCCGUGUGGCGGACCGGCGUAAUCUUUAUUGAUCGGAUGGCAGAGGUCACCUGGUGGUGGUUCAGGGCACUCUCCUGAUGGCAUUGGAUUUCCCAGUGGGUUCUAUCGGUGGCCAUCAUUAUGUUUCUGCUCGGGUUAGGGUCGUGUUUUGCGGCAGCAAAUAGGGCUGUGGGGCUGCGCUGCAGCGUGUGCAGACAGUUAUGUUGUUGCGUUCUCGCCUGCAUUGGAUUGGGCUUGGGGCUUUAUGUACUGUGGAGUCUAUGUUGUAGCAUGGGCGGAAGUUUGCGCUGAUGUGGGGCGCCAAUGUGCUCUGUGUUUGUGUGGAUGUUGUAUAUUUUCGUUCGUUUCUUUACUGGUGUUGGCGUCCUGCGUUAGUUCCUUUGUGGUGUUGGAGAAGUUCACCUUCUUGUGUGGUGAUGUGGGUGUUGUGUGUUUCAGUUGUGCUUUGAUGGAUAGUCAUCAGACAGACUGUGGAGCACAAUUACUGAUGUCAUAUGCUCGACAUGUAUUUCGGUUCCUUGAUGCUCUUAUAACGAUGAAAAGGAUAUGUAAGCUGUCCAGAGUUCCUUCAUUA